UACGAAGGAUGCAAGCGUUAUCCGGAAUUAUUGGGCGUAAAGCGCGCGCAGGCGGUCCUUUAAGUCUGAUGUGAAAGCCCACGGCUCAACCGUGGAGGGUCAUUGGAAACUGGGGGACUUGAGUGCAGAAGAGGAGAGCGGAAUUCCACGUGUAGCGGUGAAAUGCGUAGAGAUGUGGAGGAACACCAGUGGCGAAGGCGGCUCUCUGGUCUGUAACUGACGCUGAGGCGCGAAAGCGUGGGGAGCGAACAGG
rnacentral:rRNA from 1 species